GGAUGGAGCAGUUGGUAGCUCGUCGGGCUCAUAACCCGAAGGUCGUAGGUUCAAAUCCUGCUCCC
rnacentral:tRNA from 1 species